UUAUCUAACAAACGUUUCACUUUCUGGACAGACAGAUCUGAAGAACUCACUGAACAGGCUCCAAAAUGUGUUUCCAAGUCUGCGUUCAUCCACCCUUUGGAAAAGAAAAGAUUUUUGAGCUGUGCAACACUAAAGAGCAGCUGAAAAACAUCACUGGACGGCAAUUUAAAGAGAAAAUUAGUAAAGAGCUGUGGAUAAAUUAUGACUUUCGGAUUGUCGUAAACGCCAAGCCGGUGGAGGAAGAGGCCACUCUGGAAUCCACUGGGAUUGAGCACAUGUCCACAGUUCAUACAGUGCUGAAACUGUCAGGAGGCACAUCUGAUGAAGAAUAAACCCCACAGGAUCUCAAGAAAACCAUGAACCAUGCAUGAACAAAUCAAUAUAUCCUCAUGCAAUCCUUCUUUAAUCUUUAUGUAAUGUUUUAGGUAAUCAAAGUGUAUAGUUUAACAUUGAAUCAUGUAUCAGUGCCAUUAAUUUUACUCUUGGGUGUACAGAAAUUGUUUUCAGUGUCAAAAAAAAUCUUUAUGGGCUCAUUUUGAUUCAUUAUGUGUGGUUUGCAAUUAUAACAUUUUAUAAACUCUA